rnacentral:sRNA from 1 species
UUGACAAUCUUGGGGAAUGAAGUCUUCUACUUAUCCUUAGACCAGGUAAAACAAAGGCAGCAGGAGUGCAAGCUUCCCCACCCCACUAAAAUGCCUCAACCUUUUUCUAAAAGGGCUACCAGAAUAGCACAGGGUAAUAUGAACACUAUGUUCAUGCAAUCUUAGGUCAUUCUCUUGAGUCU